rnacentral:misc_RNA from 1 species
GAAACCCUAAAGCACUAAUAAUCGAAAACAAAUAUUUCAAAACCCGAAUAACAAACACGAUAUCUGUUAACAAGAGUGAAGAACUUUCACCGACCAAGAAAACUUCGAGGAGUCCACCAACAAGAACAAUCAAUCUUCAAAUUGAACGAAAUUCAACAAAUAUGCUCAGGAUCGAAAGAGAAUCCUCGAAAAUGAAGACCAGAACACAUCCAAAACCUAAGAAAUUAAUGAAACCCUAAAGAAAACUUAAAAGGGCGUAGGUAUACAUAUUCGCAGCGUACUUCGUAAUGGUUUAAUCGAAAACCGC